GGCCGGCAAGUCUGGCUACAUCUUCUGUGCCUCUGACCCGUCCAAGAAGAGACUCGCUGUGCUGCAGGGAGCUCUCAGGGGCACACUGGAGGAAGGAAAGGAAAACAUCACAAGGGAGAAUGACAAUGAAAAGGAAGGAAGGAAGGAAGGUAUGAGGCUGGACGAAGGAACACUGGGAAGGAAGGAAGGAAGGUAUGAGGCUGGACGAAGGAACACUGGGAAGGAAGGAAGGAAGGUAUGAGGCUGGAUGAAGGAACACUGGGAAGGAAGGAAGGAAGGUAUGAGGCUGGACGAAGGAACACUGGGAAGGAAGGAAGGAAGGUAUGAGGCUGGAUGAAGGAACACUGGGAAGGAAGGUAUGAGGCUGGACGAAGGAACACUGGGAAGGAAGGAAGGAAGGUAUGAGGCUGGAUGAAGGAACACUGGGAAGGAAGGAAGGAAGGUAUGAGGCUGGACGAAGGAACACUGGGAAGGAAGGAAGGAAGGUAUGAGGCUGGACGAAGGAACACUGGGAAGGAAGGAAGGAAGGUAUGAGGCUGGACGAAGGAACACUGGGAAGGAAGGAAGGAAGGUAUGAGGCUGGACGAAGGAACACUGGGAAGGAAGGAAGGAAGGUAUGAGGCUGGACGAAGGAACACUGGGAAGGAAGGAAGGAAGGUAUGAGGCUGGACGAAGGAACACUGGGAAGGAAGGAAGGAAGGUAUGAGGCUGGACGAAGGAACACUGGGAAGGAAGGAAGGAAGGAAGGUCUGAGGGUGGACGAAGGAACACUGGGAAGGAAGGAAGGAAGGAAGGAAGGAAGGAAGGAAGGAAGGAGGAGGAAGAGAAGGGAGAGAAAUGAUGAAGGAAAUAAAGAGAGAGAGAGAGAGAGAGAGAGAGAGAGAGAGAGAGAGAACAUAAGAACAUAAGAACGCAGGAGUCUGCAAGAGGCCGGUAGGCCUGUACGAGGCAGCUCCUUUGACCCUAAGCUCCCGUGUAUCUAACCCCACCUAAUAUCGCUGUCCAUGAAUUUAUCUAGUCUAUUUUUGAAUGUGACAAUUGUAUUGGCACUCACCACAUGACUGCUAAGCCUAUUCCACUCAUCCACCACCCUGUUAGUAAACCAAUUUUUGCCUAUGUCCCUGUUGAAUCUGAAUUUAUCCAGUUUAAACCCGUUACUUUGUGUCCUACCCGGUUCUCUUACCAACAAAACCUUAUGAAUGUCUCCCUUAUUAAAGCCCUUCAUCCAUUUAUAAACCUCGAUCAUGUCUCCACGCACCCUUCGCCUUUCUAGAGAAUGCAAGUUUAACUGUUUGAGUCUUUCCUCGUAUGGCAAGUUUCUCAACCCCUGAAUCAUCUUAGUCAUCCUCCUCUGCACCGAUUCUAACAUUUUGAUAUCCAUUCUAUAGUAGGGUGACCAGAACUGAACUGCAUAGUCAAGAUGAGGUCUAACUAAUGCUAAAUAUAGUUUGAGGAAGACUUCGGGGCUUCUGUUGCUUACGCUCCUUGAAAUAAAUCCCAGUACCCUAUUAGCUCGAUUUCUAGCUUGAAUGCAUUGUGCCCUUGGACGGAGAUCAGAGCUCACUAAGACCCCUAAAUCCCUCUCGCACCCAGACCUACUUAUGAGAGUGUCAUUAAAGCAAUAGUUAUGUGAGGGGUUGUUCCUACCUACACUCAGAAUACUGCACUUCCCUACAUUGAACUCCAUCUGCCAUUUAUCCGCCCAGUCAUAUAAUCUGUUGAGUUCACCUUGGAGAAUACUAGAUGAGGG